UUACGGCCAUAUCACGCUGAAAUAUUGCUUCCCGUACGAUCACCGAAGUUAAGCAACGUCGAGACUGGUCGGUACCUAGAUGAGGUGACCGCUUGGGAAUACCAGAUAUUGG